CAGCGGGAUAAUGGUUCACUGCUUACAUUUUUCUUUAAAGAAUGCCUCGAAGAAAAUUCUAUGAAGUAUUCUUCGAUACCAGGUAAUGCAUAAAAGUAAGCUAUGCGGCUAAAUUCUACUGUGUUCAUAUUUACAAGUCAAGUAAGUACGUGAAAAACGACAAAUACAAAUUGAUGGAAUAAAAUUUAUAAGUAAAUGUUUUCAUUAUUUCGUCAAAUCAUCAAGCAAAAAGUUGGUUACUCUUUGAAUGUGUGAAAGUUAAAGGCUUCACCGAAUCGGAGUAUAUUCACCAAAUUCAAAAAAGUAUCAAGCUCGCCAAAGGCCGUUUCUUCAAGUCUCGUUGCUUGAAAAAAAAAAGAAAA